ACACCAGUGGUUUAGCGGUAAAAUCUUCGCUUCCCAUUCGGAUUUUAGCGAAGGCCCCGGGUUCGACUCCCGGCUGGUGUA
rfam:Pneumocystis murina B123 supercont1.16, whole genome shotgun sequence.